CGUGAGCCAGGUCGGUUUCUAUCCUAAGAUAAAGUUAUUCAUAUUAGUACGAAAGGACCAUAUGAUUAAAAUAAUUUUUAUUUAUUGGUUAAAAUUAAUUAUUU
rnacentral:rRNA from 1 species